GCAUACAGCCAUACCAGCCUACCAACAUCCAGUUGAUCCUGGAAGCUAAGCAGGUUCAGAUCAUUAGUACACGGACAGCAGAUCUCCUGGGAGAGCUGGGUGCUGUAGGCC
rnacentral:rRNA from 1 species